ACACACUGAUCUCUGUAUCCUGUAAACUUUCUCUCCUCUCUGACCUCCUCCUCUUUGUCUUUAAUUCAUUCAUCACUUUCUUCACUGCUUUUAAUUAUAACAUGAAAAACCUGCACACACACACACCUGCAGGAUGGAUGAUGCAGGUAUAAAGAGAUUCAUCAGAGGUGAUGAAGGAGGAGGAGGAGGAGAAAAGCUUCUCAGUCAUGUUUCUCUUGAAGUCAAACUGCAGGUUCAGCGUCUUUAUCCUCCGUAUUAAACAUCGUCCCUCUGAUGGAUGUUAUCGCAUAAAAUUAUUGUUAUUGAUUCAUUAUCAACCUGCAGAUUGUUUUUAGAUUAAUCUGUCCAUCAUUUGGACUAUGUAACGUGAAACAUCUGAUCUUAUCAGAACGUAAGUGUGGUGAACACAAACAGCUGAAUGUUUCUCCUCCAGCCUCCUCGUAUUUAUUCUGCAGAAAGUCAGAGUGAGCUGAUGUGAGAACGCAGCAGGAUAUAAUCAGGAGAAUUCACCUGGAGCGAGUGUGAGGGGGUGGUGACGUUUAUGCCCUGUGAUCACUGCACGACCAUAGACUGUCUGCACGCCACCUCUACCAUCUCUGUGCUCUAAUGAACCUGCUGCAUUAUGUUUCCUGUUCUCCAGUAUGUUCUUCUCCACUCUUUAGUUCACAUUGUGAUUCUGUUCAACUACACGUAGCGUCGAUAGAAAGACAAAUAUUGUCAUUAUAGAGUUGUAUAGAGGACUCUGUUACUGCGUACGUCCCUUUAAGUCGUUCUUUUACGUCACGUCUUACCUCAGACGACCCCCCCGCUAGGCUUGGCCUGUAUCCAUUUCUUCAUACUUUCAUAUCGUCUUUCCAUUUUGUUUUGGCGUACGGUAUAUGACGAUGCUCAGUAUCGUCAACACCUUUUCUGUACAGCUGUCUCGCUCGUUUAGUUCCGUCUGUUUUCUCUUUGUGGAGUUUGCGCUCCUACUCGCUACAGGACGGUAGUCGAGCUCUCAGCCUGCGGGGAAAGACCAGCUAGAGCUCUCUGCCCGACUCCGCUGGUCACUCUUUAACUUUAAUAAAUGACUCUUUCAAUCAAAAGAAGAGCGCUCAACACGGUUUAUUUAAGGAACAAUACACCCCCGUUUUCUGUAAAUGCACGACUAUGACCCCGUGAGGAAGAAAAGUCUCCCUCCUCCACUCUGAUGUUAGCUUAGCACGUUUACCUUCCCAGAGCUAUCAGCUCUGUCUCGACCUCCCUUUUUGUCCCCAGUGCAGUCAUAGUGGCCUCGGUAACGGGAGUCUACAUAGGAUCUGACCCCUGCUGGCGCGUGCUGUGCACUACAACCCCUCACCUCAAUACAUUAUAUUUGAGUCAGUUUAACAGAAAAAGUAGCGUUUGUGUUUUCGCCAGUAUUAAAAGUCAUACCGUCGGGAUUUCUAAAUACCAUGGUACACUUUAAUACCGUGAUAACGUCCAAGCCUUCCCCCCCCGCCCACUCCCGUCUGACAGAGAUAUUCUCCCGCCGUGAGGUGCAUGUGUGAACAACCAGGUCAGGAGAAUAUGUGUUGCAGUCCACAGAGAUAUUUUCAGGAGUGCAGAUGUGAAAACAGUAACACAGACUGUUAAUAUAUUUAAUCCAUUAAACUCAGGGAGGUCAGAAAAUAAGAAGUUCAGUUCAAUGACUCCGCCCACUGCGACCUCCGUGAUGAACAGAACUGUGAUCUCUGACAGUGAUGGAAGGUCAAGAAUAUCGUUGACAAGUUGAAUUAACUCUCGACUCCACAGUCUUUGAUUCUUGUUCAUUUCUGUUUAAAUGUUUGAUUUGUUUAAGUACGACAGAUAUCUGACAUAAAGUGAUGUCAUAAAGCGAUGUCAUCGGAAGGUCCCCGUAGAGCGACAUAUUCACACAGGACCCCACAGUUCACAUAAACCUGUUUGUGUGUGUGGACCCUCCAGAGUUUCUGUAUGUUAAUCUGACAUUUUGUGUCUUCGGAGAGUUUGAUCUCACUGAGCCUGACAUUUAAGACUCCGCCGUACUACAUUAGACUUUCCCUUUAGGUAUACACAUAAAGAGGCAACCUCCUGGCUUGUGAGACGCGUCUGCAUGGCGGCCAUCUUGGAGAGGGGUAGCAGUAUCUCCUAACGAACAUAAAUCGGCAGGACGUCUAGUGUAUAUAUCUGAGACCCCCCCCC